ACGUGGGAAUAUGCCUAUCAGUAAGGAACAACCAUUGGAAACGAUGGCUAAUACCUUAUACGCCCUAAGGGGAAAGAAUUUCGCUGAUAGAUUAGCCCGCGGUAGAUUAGCUAGUUGGUAAGGUAAAGCUUACCAAGGCGACGAUCUAUAUCUGGUUUGAGAGGAUGAUCAGACACACUGGGACUGAGACACGGCCCAGACUCCUACGGGAGGCAGCAGUGGGGAAUAUUGCACAAUGGGCGCAAGCCUGAUGCAGCCAUGCCGCGUGUGUGAAGAAGGCCUUCCGGUUGUAAAGCACUU
rnacentral:rRNA from 1 species